GCGUAAACCGUCUCAGCGCUGGUGCCGAGCUCAUUAGCCCAACAAAAUCCGUUGCGCUCUGCAAUUAAAUGCUGCCUGAGAUUCCUUGGCCACAGUCUGAGCGAAAGGGAGGGGAGAAGGAGGAACACUACGGGAGGUGUGGUCUCCCACAAACUGAGACAAGCGAGACCUCUGAGUGAGUGACGUACGAGGACGACAAGUUUCAGUUCAAUUUUAUUAUAGCCCAAAAAACUGAACUGAACUGACUAAAGUAAACGGGGCAUCCCCAAGUUUCUUCUCUGUUCUCGGCGUUUUCCUGUCGUGACCUGCGUGGAUUUCACCGCAUAGCUGAGCUGAACAUAAGCAAAGGAUGACACACGAACGAAGCAGGAUGAAGCUGAAGUCUGGAUUCUCCGUGACGAGAGACAGUUUGUUUUCACAGAAAACAGCCUUGAAAACAAUGGGCGCUUAAAAAAAACCCCACCAGGACGACCGCAGAGGAAGAUGAAGGGAAUCGAAGGAGGAGGAUGUAAAGUUCAUCAACGGCUAUGCGGAUGGAUCGUUGCAGAUAAAACACAGAUGGACUGACUUAUCUUGAAGGAAAGAAAACAUUUGUUAAAGAUUAAAGAGUCACUUGAAGGAGUUUUGGCAUGUUUGAUGUGCUCACAGAGGGAGACAAACCUUCCAACAGUUUCUAAGUGCUGCUCUCAUUUACUGCUGUCACUCACUUUAAAGAAACCAGUCAUUAUCUUCACAAGCGUUCUUUCAUCCAGCACUGUUAACUCUGGAUUGUUAUUGUGUUCAAAACAUUCAAUGUUUCUGAGAAUUGGACUGAGUGACUGUGACCCCCACCACCAGAAAAUGGUUUAGUCCGGCUCCAACCAAAUAAAGUCAAAUCAGUCAUCAUC